CCCAAUGUGCCCAUGGGGAAAAGGAUCCGUACGGAAAUGGGGCUCAAAAAUAUUGAGGAUUGUGAGGUGAGAAAUGGGAAAAAACGGUAAAAAAAUGGGUAAAAAUGGGGAAAAACAGGGAAAAAAGUAGAGUAAAAAUGGGGUAAAAAUGGAUUUGUGUUCAUCCAUAAUGUGCUCGUGGAGGAAAGGAUCCAUAUGGAAAUGGGGCCCAAAAAUAUUGAGGAUUGUGAGGUUCUGCUGAUGGUGGGGCUGCCGGGCUCGGGGAAGACCCAAUGGGCUCAGAACCACUCGCAGGAGAAUCGGGACAAACGUUACAACAUCCUGGGAACCGAGCGCGUCCUGCACCAGCUCAGGGUACUGGGAUAAACUGGG